GGUGGUGCUGGAGGUUAUCCUGGUGGAGCUGGUGGCGUACCUGGUGGGGCUGGAGGCUAUGCCGGUGCCAAGGCACGUAAAUAUGGCCUUCCUGGUGGUGGUUUAGCUGCUGGACUUGGAGGAGUGCCUGGUUCAGGUGUAAGACCAGGAGGGGGAUACGGACCUGGUGGCGGUGUGGGCCCUGGUGGAGGAUAUGGACCAGGCGGAGUUGGUCCAGGUGGAGUUGGACCUGGUGGAGUUGGACCUGGUGAAGUUGGUCCAG